CAAGCUUUUGGGGCAUGGAGGUUUUCUUUUUAAAAAGCCAAAACAGAACUUAACAUGGCAAUAAAAGUUAUACUGAAUUAAGAGAACAGUGUUGUGCCCAAUCU